AGUGGCGCACGGGAGAGUAACACGUGGAUAAUCUCCCCUCGAGAGAAGAAUAACCAGUCGAAAGAUUGGCUAAUACUUCGUAAGACCACAGAAACGAAUGUUUCAGGGGUAAAAGUCGUAAGACGCUUGAGGAUGAGUCUGCGUCCCAUUAGCUAGUUGGUGAGGUAAUAGCUUACCAAGGCGACGAUGGGUAGCUGGUCUGAGAGGAUGAUCAGCCUCACUGGAACUGACACACGGUCCAGACUCCUACGGGAGGCAGCAGUAGGGAAUAUUGCACAAUGGAGGAAACUCUGAUGCAGCGACGCCGCGUGAGUGAUGAAGGACUUCGGUUUGUAAAGUUCUGUUCUUAGGGAAUAAAAAAAUGAAUGUACCUGAGGAGAAAGCACCGGCUAACUUCGUGCCAGCAGCCGCGGUAAUACGAAGGGUGCAAGCGUUGCUCGGAAUCAUUGGGCGUAAAGCGAGCGCAGGUGGUCUUGUAAGUCAGGAGUGAAAUCCCAGGGCUCAACCCUGGAAGUGCUUUUGA
rnacentral:rRNA from 1 species